ensembl:lncRNA
AGGGAAGCAGGCAUAAUGUAGAGGAGAAGAGGUAGGGAAGCAGGCAUAAUGUAGAGGAGAAGAGGUAGGGACGCAGGCAUAAUGUAGAGGAGAAGAGGUAGGGAAGCAGGAAUAAUGUGGAGGGGAAGAGGUAGGGAAGCAGGUAUAAUGUAAAGGAGAAGAGGUAGGGAAGCAGGAAUAAUGUAUCCUCUAUUGACAGACUGUAAUGGGGGAGAUGGCCGGUUGGAUAAUUAUAUUAUGUUUAUAACUGCUUGGGGUACUGACUCAUUCCCUGGCUGCUUUUAUCCAGAAAUUACCAAAU